rnacentral:rRNA from 3 species
UCUGGUAAUGAUGGCAGAGAGGUCACACCCGUUCCCAUACCGAACACGGAAGUUAAGCUCUCUAGCGCCGAUGGUAGUUGGGACCUUGUCCCUGUGAGAGUAGGACGUUGCCAGGCAAU